rnacentral:rRNA from 1 species
UUUUGCAUAUCAAAAAGCGGAGGAAAAGAAACCAACAGGGAUUGCCUUAGUAGCGGCGAGUGAGCGGCAAAAGCUCAAAUUUGAAAUCUGGCGCCUUCGGUGUCCGAGUUGUAAUUUGAAGAUUGUAACCUUGGGGUUGGCUCUUGUCUAUGUUUCUUGGAACAGGACGUCACAGAGGGUGAGAAUCCCGUGCGAUGAGAUGCCCAAUUCUAUGUAAGGUGCUUUCGAAGAGUCGAGUUGUUUGGGAAUGCAGCUCUAAGUGGGUGGUAAAUUCCAUCUAAAGCUAAAUAUUGGCGAGAGACCGAUAGCGAACAAGUACAGUGAUGGAAAGAUGAAAAGAACUUUGAAAAGAGAGUGAAAAAGUACGUGAAAUUGUUGAAAGGGAAGGGUUUGAGAUCAGACUCGAUAUUUUGUGAGCCUUGCCUUCGUGGCGGGGUGACCCGCAGCUUAUCGGGCCAGCAUCGGUUUGGGCGGUAGGAUAAUGGCGUAGGAAUGUGACUUUACUUCGGUGAAGUGUUAUAGCCUGCGUUGAUGCUGCCUGCCUAGACCGAGGACUGCGAUUUUAUCAAGGAUGCUGGCAUAAUGAUCCCAAACCGCGCGUCUUGAACCACGGACCAAA